CAGCAGCCGCGGUAAUACGGAGGGUGCAAGCGUUAAUCGGAAUUACUGGGCGUAAAGCGCACGCAGGCGGUUUGUUAAGUCAGAUGUGAAAUCCCCGAGCUUAACUUGGGAACUGCAUUUGAAACUGGCAAGCUAGAGUCUUGUAGAGGGGGGUAGAAUUCCAGGUGUAGCGGUGAAAUGCGUAGAGAUCUGGAGGAAUACCGGUGGCGAAGGCGGCCCCCUGGACAAAGACUGACGCUCAGGUGCGAAAGCGUGGGGAGCAAACAGGAUUAGAGACCCGGGUAGUCCCUGUCUCUUAUAA
rnacentral:rRNA from 1 species